rnacentral:rRNA from 1 species
UACGGAGGAUGCAAGCGUUAUCCGGAAUGAUUGGGCGUAAAGCGUCCGCAGGUGGCUGUGUAAGUCUGCUGUUAAAGAGUCUAGCUCAACUAGAUAAGAGCAGUGGAAACUACACGGCUAGAGUACGUUCGGGGCAGAGGGAAUUCCUGGUGUAGCGGUGAAAUGCGUAGAGAUCAGGAAGAACACCGGUGGCGAAGGCGCUCUGCUAGGCCGUAACUGACACUGAGGGACGAAAGCUAGGGGAGCAAACGGG